ensembl:lncRNA
GUUUCUUUGUAUUCUAAAAUACAGUAUUCUACUUAUGGUCAGAUAACCAAAACAGCCUUGGAAGCUAGUAUCUACAGAAAAUAAGCAUGGAAGGGGAGUGAUAAAAUCAAAAGCAAAAUACUCUAAAGCAAAACAUAAGUACUGGUGAAGAAUAAGGCCUGUGGGAAAACUAACACCCAGAUGCAGGACUAGACUGGAAAAAUAUAGUUGAAGGCGUCAGCAUAUAAAUCAUAACUGAAACCUGUGGAAGGAUAAGACUGUGAAGAGAGAAAACACACUGGAUGUCUGAGAGGAAAGGCAAGAUAAAAUUGUUACUCCUACUAUGAGAGCAGUCUACUCUCCUUAAGACCAGAGUUGAUGGAUAUCUCUAAACAAAGUGACAUCUGUGAGACCAGUUUCUUCUUGAUCUUCUGCUCUUCUCUGUGUCAUCUUUGGCUCUUUCAUUGCCUAUUUUUCAUUACUCAC